rnacentral:rRNA from 1 species
AGCUCAAAUUUAAAAUCUGACAGUGUUUUGCUGUCCGAGUUGUAAUCUAGAGAAGUGUUACCCGUGCUGGACCAUGUACAAGUCUCCUGGAAUGGAGCGUCACAGAGGGUGAGAAUCCCGUCUUUGACAUGGACUACCAGUGCAUUGUGGUGUGCUCUCAAAGAGUCGAGUUGUUUGGGAAUGCAGCUCUAAAUGGGUGGUAAACUCCAUCUAAAGCUAAAUAUUGGCGAGAGACCGAUAGCGAACAAGUACCGUGAGGGAAAGAUGAAAAGAACUUUGGAAAGAGAGUUAAACAGUAUGUGAAAUUGUUGAAAGGGAAACGCUUAAAGUCAGUCAUGUCGGCCAGGGAUCAACUUAGCUUUCUUUGCUGGGUGUACUUCCUGAUCUGAUGGGCCAACAUCAGUUUUGACUGCUGGAGAAGGAUAGAGGGAAUGUGGCACCUCCGGGUGUGUUAUAGCUCUUUGUCGGAUGCAGUGGUUGGGACUGAGGAAAGCAGCAUGCCGUAAGGCCGGGUUUCGACCACGUUCAUGCUGA